AUAUCUCUCCGUACGGGAAGGAUGAGAAGCUUCGACUAAGGUUCGAUUCGAGCGCAGCGAGAACGCGUUGCCGCAGGCAACGACCCGAAGGGCGAAGCGCGCAG
rnacentral:sRNA from 2 species